rnacentral:lncRNA from 1 species
UAAUUUGAGCUGAAUAAUUUUUUUGUAUAGAUAAUUGAUAAUAUACCAUUCAAAACUUCGAAAAUAUCUAAUUUAGGCCUACUUUUUUUUUUUUGUUUGCAAUAUACCCUUCGUAUAUUUCUCCGUUAUUCAAAAAUACUCCCGCAAUUAUCACUUGCUAAAUUAUCUCGGAUUAAACGUAAGUGUUAAAAAAAUCAAAAUAUCUCUUUUGUCCUUAAC